UAAGGGUUUAGCCCCGCUGUCAGGGCUGCUCUACUCACACCAGUGUGAGGGCACGUCUUUUCUGAUGCCAGAAAAAUCUGCAAUUGUGGAAUCACCAAAGGUUUUCAUUUUAAAACCUGAUAUUUUGAAGUAUAGAUUUAAAUGUCGCUAUAUGUUUGUUUGGAUUAAGCAAUUAAAUAAAUAGAUGGUGGGUGGUGACGGAGUUACACAUAAUGAACAAGAAGCUAGAUUGUUCAUGUACAAAUCGUCUCCCCAAUGUGUGAAGAAGUCUGGAAAGACCAAACAUCAAAAAUCAUAAAAAUCUGGGAAAAGAUAAAAAAGAAGAAAAAGAAAAAAGAAAAACAACAGUGCUACCUGCUAGAAAAGUGCUCUCCUGAUACAAAGAAGCACAGAAUUCUGCAACCAGCAACCUUGACUUCAUGAGGAUCUGUCUCAGCCAUGGAGCAGAGAACAGGUUAUGUGAACUUUUCUAACCCACCAGCGUCAGAACAAUGAUACAUUGGUCCUUCAGAACACAACAUUUCAGUUCUGUGAACACAAGAGAAAAUGAUAUUUUUAGACUGAUAGUGUAUUUGGUGCAAACAAAGUUAAAAGGUCAAGAAAAUGAUUGUAUCUCUCUGCAAGAGGAUUUAUGUCUAUUUGUACCUGGUUUCUAUGUAAUCACUUAGCACCAAUGGCAGAAAAAUGCUAUUAUUAGUCAUAAUAGUUUUUGUUGUUUUUCCAUUGAUUUAAGAGUUCAUGCUGAAAACAAAGUGCUGUCAAAUGAUGAAUCAUUUAUUACCACCUUGUCCUGAACAGGAUUUGAUGUGGGCAAGCCAGAUGCACUGGGUCACCUAAGCACAUUCCUUAUAUUGUGCUACAUGGAAGCUCAAGCAACACAGGUCUAUAACAAGCAGUCACUAUAAAGCUAAUUAUUGUAUGAGAAUG